rnacentral:lncRNA from 1 species
CUUGAGGUUGUGGAAAUUGUUAAACUUGAGAAUUGGGUAUUGGCUGAACUGAGUUUUUUGUGUUUUUGAACUUGAGUUUGUGUCGUGUUUGAACUUGAGUUUAUGGUUUUUUGAACUUGAAUUUGCGUGUUUGGUGAACUAGAGUUUUCGUGUUUUUUGAACUUGAGUUUCUGUUUUUUUUAACUUGAGGUUGUGGAAAUUGUUAAACCUUAGAAUCGGGUAUUGGUUGAACUUGAGUUUGUGUGUUUUUUGAACUUGAGUUUGUGGUGUGUUUGAACUUGAGUUUGUUGUUUUUUUGAACUUGAGUUUGUGUGUUUGUUGAACUUGAGUUUGUGUUGUUUUUGAACUUGAGUUUGUGUUGUUUUUGAACUUGAGUUUUUGGUGGUUUUGAACUUGAGGUUGUGGAAAUUGUUAAACUUAAGAAUUGGGUAUUGGUUGAACUUGCGUUUUUUGUGUUUUUUAAAUUAGGUUUGUGUAGUGUUUGAACCUGAGUUUGUGGUGUUUUUGAACUUGAAGUUGUGUUUUUUUUUAAUUGAGGGUGUGGAAUUUUUUAAACUUGAGAAUUGGGUUUUGGUUGAACUUAAGUUUGUGGUGUUUUUGAACUUGAGUUUGUUUCGUGUUUGAACUUGAGUUCGUGGCGUUUGUUGAGCUUGAGUUUCUGUUGUUUUUGAACUUGAGUUUGUGUCGUGUUUGAACUUGAGUUUGUGUUUGUUGAACUUGAGUUUUUUUUUUGAACUUGAGUUUGUGUUGUUUUUGAACUUGAGUUUUUUGUGUUUUUGAACUUGAGUUUGUGUCGUGUUUGAACUUGAGUUUUUGGUGGUUUUGAACUUGAGGUUGUGGAAAUUGUUAAACUUAAGAAUGGGUAUUGGUUGAACUUGAUUUUGUGGUGUUUUUGAACUUGAGUUUGCUGUGUUUGAACUUGAGUUUGUGGCGUUUGUUGAACAUGAGUUUCUGUUGUUUUUGAACUUGAGUUUGUGUCGUGUUUUAACUUGAGUUUGUGUGUUUGUUGAACUUGAGUUUUUUUUUUUUAACUUGAGUUUGUGUUGUUUUUGAACUUGAGUUUCUGUUGUUUUUGAACUUGAGGUAUUGGAAAUUGUUAAACUUGAGAAUCAGGUGUUGGUUGAACUUGAGUUUGUGUGUUUGAACUUUAGUGUGUGGUGUUUUUGAACUUGAGUUUGUGUCGUGUUUGAACUUGAGUUUGUGGUGUUUUUGAACUUGAGUUUGUGGUGUUUUUGAACUUGAGGGUGUGGAAUAUGUUAAACUUGAGAAAUUGGUAUUGGUUGAACUUGAGUUUUGGGUGUUUUUGAACUUGAAUUUUUGGAAAUUGUUAAACUUGAGAAUCAGGUGUUGGAUGAACUUGAGUUAGUGUUUGUUGAACUUGAGUUUGUGUCGUGUUGGAACUUGAGCUCGUGUUGUUUGUUGAAUUGAGUUUGUGUUUUUUGAACUUGAGGUUGUGAACAUUUUUAAACUUAAGAAUCAGGUGUUGGUUGAACUUGAGUUUGUGGUUUUUGUUGAACAUGAGUUUGUGUCGUUUUUGAACUUGAGUUUGUGGUGUUUUUGAACUUGAGCAUGUGUUGUUUUUGAACUUGAGGUUGUGGAAAUUGUUAAACUUGAGAAUUGGGUAUUGGUUGAACUUGAAUUUUUUGUGUUUUUGAACUUGAGUUUGUGUCGUGUUUGAACUUGAGUUUGUGGUGUUUUUGAACUUGAAUUUGUGGUGUUUUUGAACUUGAGGUUGUGGAAAUUGUUAAACUUGAGAAUUGGGUAUUGGCUGAACUGAGUUUUUUGUGUUUUUGAACUUGAGUUUGUGUCGUGUUUGAACUUGAGUUUAUGGUUUUUUGAACUUGAAUUUGCGUGUUUGGUGAACUAGAGUUUUCGUGUUUUUUGAACUUGAGUUUCUGGUUUUUUUAACUUGAGGUUGUGGAAAUUGUUAAACCUUAGAAUCGGGUAUUGGUUGAACUUGAGUUUGUGUGUUUUUUGAACUUGAGUUUGUGGUGUGUUUGAACUUGAGUUUGUUGUUUUUUUGAACUUGAGUUUGUUGUUUUUUUUAACUUGAGUUUGUGUGUUUGUUGAACUUGAGUUUGUGUUGUUUUUGAACUUGAGUUUUUGGUGGUUUUGAACUUGAGGUUGUGGAAAUUGUUAAACUUAAGAAUUGGGUAUUGGUUGAACUUGCGUUUUUUGUGUUUUUUAAAUUAGGUUUGUGUAGUGUUUGAACCUGAGUUUGUGGUGUUUUUGAACUUGAAGUUGUGUUUUUUUUUUAAUUGAGGGUGUGGAAUUUUUUAAACUUGAGAAUUGGGUUUUGGUUGAACUUAAGUUUGUGGUGUUUUUGAAUUUGAGUUUGUUUCGUGUUUGAACUUGAGUUCGUGGCGUUUGUUGAGCUUGAGUUUCUGUUGUUUUUGAACUUGAGUUUGUGUCGUGUUUGAACUUGAGUUCGUGGCGUUUGUUGAACUUGAGUUUUUUUUUUUGAACUUGAGUUUGUGUUGUUUUUGAACUUGAGUUUGUGUGUUUGUUGAACUUGAGUUUGUUUUUUUUUUGAACUUGAGUUUGUGUGUUUGUUGAACUUGAGUUUGUGUUGUUUUUGAACUUGAGUUUUUGGUGGUUUUGAACUUGAGGUUGUGGAAAUUGUUAAACUUAAGAAUUGGGUAUUGGUUGAACUUGCGUUUUUUGUGUUUUUUAAAUUAGGUUUGUGUAGUGUUUGAACCUGAGUUUGUGGUGUUUUUGAACUUGAAGUUGUGUUUUUUUUUAAUUGAGGGUGUGGAAUUUUUUAAACUUGAGAAUUGGGUUUUGGUUGAACUUAAGUUUGUGGUGUUUUUGAACUUGAGUUUGUUUCGUGUUUGAACUUGAGUUCGUGGCGUUUGUUGAGCUUGAGUUUCUGUUGUUUUUGAACUUGAGUUUGUGUCGUGUUUGAACUUGAGUUUGUGUGUUUGUUGAACUUGAGUUUUUUUUUUGAACUUGAGUUUGUGUUGUUUUUGAACUUGAGUUUGUGUGUUUGUUGAACUUGAGUUUCUGUGGUGUUUUUGAACUUGAGUUUGUGUGUUUGUUGAACUUGCGUUUGUGUUGUUUUCGAACUUGAGUUUUUGGUGGUUUUGAACUUGAAGUUGUGGAAAUUGUUAAACUUAAGAAUUGGGUAUUGGUUGAACUUGCGUUUUUUGUGUUUUUUAAAUUAGGUUUGUGUAGUGUUUGAACCUGAGUUUGUGGUGUUUUUGAACUUGAGCUUUUGGUGUUUUUGAACUUGAGCUUGUGGAAAUUGUUAAACUUGAGAAUUGGGUAUUGGUUGAACUUGAAUUUUUUGUGUUUUUGAACUUGAGUUUGUGUCGUGUUUGAACUUGAGUUUGUGGUGUUUUUGAACUUGAAUUUGUGGUGUUUUUGAACUUGAGCUUGUGGAAAUUGUUAAACUUGAGAAUUGGGUAUUGGCUGAACUGAGUUUUUUGUGUUUCGUGUUUGAACUUGUGUCGUGUUUGAACUUGAGUUUAUGGUUUUUUGAACUUGAAUUUGCGUGUUUGGUGAACUAGAGUUUUCGUGUUUUUUGAACUUGAGUUUCUGUUUUUUUUAACUUGAGGUUGUGGAAAUUGUUAAACCUUAGAAUCGGGUAUUGGUUGAACUUGAGUUUGUGUGUUUUUUGAACUUGAGUUUGUGGUGUGUUUGAACUUGAGUUUGUUGUUUUUUUGAACUUGAGUUUGUGUGUUUGUUGAACUUGAGUUUGUGUUGUUUUUGAACUUGAGUUUUUGGUGGUUUUGAACUUGAGGUUGUGGAAAUUGUUAAACUUAAGAAUUGGGUAUUGGUUGAACUUGCGUUUUUUGUGUUUUUUAAAUUAUGUUUGUGUAGUGUUUGAACCUGAGUUUGUGGUGUUUUUGAACUUGAAGUUGUGUUUUUUUUUAAUUGAGGGUGUGGAAUUUUUUAAACUUGAGAAUUGGGUUUUGGUUGAACUUAAGUUUGUGGUGUUUUUGAACUUGAGUUUGUUUCCUGUUUGAACUUGAGUUCGUGGCGUUUGUUGAGCUUGAGUUUCUGUUGUUUUUGAACUUGAGUUUGUGUCGUGUUUGAACUUGAGUUUGUGUGUUUGUUGAACUUGAGUUUUUUUUUUUUAACUUGAGUUUGUGUUGUUUUUGAACUUGAGUUUCUGUUGUUUUUGAACUUGAGGUAUUGGAAAUUGUUAAACUUGAGAAUCAGGUGUUGGUUGAACUUGAGUUUGUGUCGUGUUUGAACUUGAGUUUGUGGUGUUUUUGAACUUGAGUUUGUGGUGUUUUUGAACUUGAGGGUGUGGAAUAUGUUAAACUUGAGAAAUUGGUAUUGGUUGAACUUGAGUUUUUGGUGUUUUUGAACUUGAAUUUUUGGAAAUUGUUAAACUUGAGAAUCAGGUGUUGGAUGAACUUGAGUUAGUGUUUGUUGAACUUGAGUUUGUGUCGUGUUGGAACUUGAGCUCGUGUUGUUUGUUGAAUUGAGUUUGUGUUUUUUGAACUUGAGGUUGUGAAAAUUUUUAAACUUAAGAAUCAGGUGUUGGUUGAACUUGAGUUUGUGGUGUUUUUGAACUUGAGUUUGUUUCGUGUUUGAACUUGAGUUUGUGGCGUUUGUUGAACUUGAGUUUCUGUUGUUUUUGAACUUGAGUUUGUGGCGUUUGUUGAACUUGAGUUUCUGUUGUUUUUGAACUUGAGUUUGUGUCGUGUAUGAACUUGAGUUUGUGUCGUGUUUUUGAACUUCAGUUUUUGGUGUUUUUGAACUUGAGGGUGUGGAAUUUGUUAAACUUGAGAAUUGGGUAUUGGUUAAAUUUGAGUUUGUUUGUUUGUUGAACUUGAGUUCGUGUCGUGUUUGAACUUGAGUUUGUGGUGUUUUUGAACUUGAGUUUUUGUGUAUUUUGAACUUGAGUUUGUGGAAUUUGUUAAACUUGAGAAUUUGGUAUUGUUUGAACUUGAGUUUUUUGUGUUUUUGAACUUGAGUUUGUGGCAAUUGAUGAACUUGCGUCUGUGGUUUUUAGUGAACUUUAAUUGGUGGCAAUUGUUGAACUUGAGUUUGUGGCGUUUUUGAACUCGAGUUUCUGUUUUUUUUAACUUGAGGUUGUGGAAAUUGUUAAACCUGAGAAUCUGGUAUUGGUUGAACUUGAGUUUGUGUGUUUUUUGAACUUGAGUUUGUGUUGUGUUUGAACUUGAGUUUAUGUUUUUUUUUAACUGAAUUUGCGUGUUUGGUGAACUUGAGUUUUCGUGUUUUUUGAACUUGAGUUUCUGUUUUUGUGAACUUGAGGUUGUGGAAAUUGUUAAACUUAAGAAUUGGGUAUUGGUUGAACUUGAGUUUGUGGUGUUUUUGAACUUGAGUUUGUUUCGUUUUUGAACUUGAGUUUGUGGCGUUUGUUGAACUUGAGUUUCUGUUGUUUUUGAACUUGAGUUUGUGGCGUUUGUUGAACUUGAGUUUCUGUUGUUUUUGAACUUGAGUUUGUGUCGUGUUUGAACUUGAGUUUUUGUGUUUGUUGAACUUCAGUUUGUGUUAUGUUUGAACUUGAGUUUGUGUCGUGUAUGAACUUGAGUUUGUGUCGUGUUUUUGAACUUCAGUUUUUGGUGUUUUUGAACUUGAGGGUGUGGAAUUUGUUAAACUUGAGAAUUGGGAAUUGGUUAAAUUUGAGUUUGUUUGUUUGUUGAACUUGAGUUCGUGUCGUGUUUGAACUUGAGUUUGUGGUGUUUUUGAACUUGAGUUUGUGUGUAUUUUGAACUUGAGUUUGUGGAAUUUGUUAAACUUGAGAAUUUGGUAUUGUUUGAACUUGAGUUUUUUGUGUUUUUGAACUUGAGUUUGUGGCAAUUGAUGAACUUGCGUCUGUGGUUUUAAGUGAACUUUAAUUGGUGUCAAUUGUUGAACUUGAGUUUGUGGCGUUUUUGAACUCGAGUUUCUGUUUUUUUUAACUUGAGGUUGUGGAAAUUGUUAAACCUGAGAAUCUGGUAUUGGUUGAACUUGAGUUUGUGUGUUUUUUAAAUGGGUUUGUGUAGUGUUUGAGCCUGAGUUUGUGGUGUUUUUGAACUUGAGUUGCGUGUUUGGUGACCUUGAGUUUGUGUGUUUUUUGAACUUGAGUUUCUGUUAUUUUUUUGAACUUGAGGUAUUGGAAAUUGUUAAACCUUAGAACCAGGUGUUGGUUGAACUUGAGUUUGUGUGUUUGUUGAACUUGAGUUUGUGUCGUGUUUGAACUUUAGUGUGUGGUGUUUUUGAACUUGAGUUUGUGUCGUGUUUGAACUUGAGUUUGUGGUGUUUUUGAACUUGAGUUUGUGUCGUUUUUGAACUUGAGGGUGUGGAAUAUGUUAAACUUGAGAAAUUGGUAUUGGUUGAACCUGAGUUUUUGGUGUUUUUGAACUUGAAUUUUUGGAAAUUGUUAAACUUGAGAAUCAGGUGUUGGAUGAACUUGAGUUAGUGUUUGUUGAACUUGAGUUUGUGUCGUGUUGGAACUUGAGCUCGUGUUGUUUGUUGAAUUGAGUUUGUGUUUUUUGAACUUGAGGUUGUGAAAAUUUUUAAACUUGAGUAUCAGGUGUUGGUUGAACUUGAGUUUGUGGUUUUUGUUGAACAUGAGUUUGUGUUGUUUUUGAACUUGAGCAUGUGUUUUUUUUUAACUUGAGGUUGUGGAAAUUUUUAAACUUGAGAAUUGGGUAUUGAUUGAACUUCAUUUUUUGUGUUUUGAACUUGAGUUUCUGUUGUGUUUGAACUUGAGUUUGUGGUGUUUUUGAACUUGAGUUUCUGUUGUUUUUGAACUUGAGGUAAUGGAAAUUGUUAAACCUUAGAAUCAGGUGUUGGUUGAACUUAAGUUUGUGUGUUUGUUGAACUUGAGUUUGUGUGUUUGAACUUGAGGGUGUUUUGUGUUUGAACUUGAGUUUGUGGUGUUUUUGAACUUGAGUUUGUGUCGUGUUUGAUCUUGAGGGUGUGGAAUUUUGUUUAACUUGAGAAUUUGGUAUUGGUUGAACUUGAGUUUGUGGUGUUUUUGAACUUGAGUUUGUGGUGUUUUUGAACUUGAGAAUCAGGUGUUGGAUGAACUUGAGUUAGUGUUUGUUGAACUUGAGUUUUUGUCCUGUUGGAACUUAAGUUUGUGGGUUUUUUUAACUUGAGUUUGUAUGUUUGUUGAACUUGAGUUUGUGUGUUUGUAGAACUUGAGUUUGUGUUGUGUUUGAACUUGAGUUUGUGGUGUUUUUGAACUUGAGUUUGUUUCGUGUUUGAACUUGAGUUUGUGGCGUUUUUUGAACUUGAGUUUCUGUUGUUUUUGAACUUGAGUUUUUGUCGUGUUUGAACUUGAGUUUGUGUGUUUGUUGAACUUGAGUUUGUGUUAUGUUUGAACUUGAGUUUGUGUCAUGUAAGAACUUGGGUUUGUUUCGUGUUUGAACUUGAGUUUGUGGCGUUUGUUGAACUUGAGUUUCUGUUGUUUUUGAACUUGAGUUUGUGUCAUGUUUGAACUAGAGUUAGUGUUUGUUGAACUUGAGUUUGUGUUGUGUUGGAACUUAAGUUUGUGGUGUUUUUGAACUUGAGUUUGUGUGUUUGUUGAAGUUGAGUUUGUGUUGUAUUUGAACUUGAGUUUGUGUUUUUUUUAACUUGAGUUUUUUUAUGUUUGAACUUGAGUUUGUGGUGUUUUUGAACUUGAAUUUUUGGUGUUUUUGAACUUGAGCUUGUGGAAAUAGUCAAACUUGAGAAUUGGGUAUUGGUUGAACUUGUUUUUUGUGUUUUCUAACUUGAGUUUGUGUCGUGUUUGAACUUGAGUUCGUGGUGUUUUUGAACUUGAGUUUGUGGUGUUUUUGAACUUGAGUUUGUGGUGUUUUUGAACUUGAGCUUGUGGAAAUUGUUAUACCUGAGAAUUGGGUACUGGUUGAACUGAGUUUUUGGUGUUUUUGAUCUUGAGUUUGUGUCGUGUUUGAACUUGAGUUUAUGGGUUUUUUUAACUUGAAUUUGCGUGCUUGGUGAACUUGAGUUUUCGUGUUUUUUGAACUUGAGUUUCUGUUUUUUUGAACUUGAGGUUGUGGAAAUUGUUAAACCUUAGAAUCGGGUGUUGGUUGAACUUGAGUUUGUGUGUUUUUUGAACUUGGGUUUGUGGUGUGUUUGAACUUGAGUUUGUGGUGUUUUUGAACUUGAGUUUGUGUGUUUGUUGAACUUGAGUUUGUGUUGUUUUUGAACUUGAGUUUUUGGUGGUUUUGAACUUUAGGUUGUGGAAAUUGUUAAACUUAAGAAUUGGGUAUUGGUUGAACUUGCGUUUUUUGUGUUUUUUAAAUUGGUUUGUUUAGUGUUUGAACCUUAGUUUUUGGUGAUUUGAACUUGAAGUUGUGGUUUUUUUUAACUUGAGGGUGUGGAAUUUUUUAAACUUGAGAACUGGGUUUUGGUUGAACUUGAGUUUGUGGUGUUUUUGAACUUGAGUUUGUUUCGUGUUUGAACUUGAGUUUGUGGCGUUUGUUGAACUUGAGUUUCUGUUGUUUUUGAACUUGAGUUUUUGUCGUGUUUGAAUUUGAGUUUGUGUGUUUGUUGAACUUGAGUUUGUGUUAUGUUUGAACUUGAGUUUGUGUCGUGUAUGAACUUGAGUUUGUGUCGUGUUUUUGAACUUAAGUUUUUGGUGUUUUUGAACUUGAGGAUGUGGAAUUUGUUAAACUUGAGAAUUGGGUAUUGGUUGAAUUUGAGUUUGUGUGUUUGUUGAACUUAAGUUCGUGUUGUGUUUGAACUUGAGUUUGUGGUGUUUUUGAACUUGAGUUUGUGUUGUUUUUGAACUUGAGUUUUUGGUGGUUUUGAACUUGAGGUUGUGGAAAUUGUUAAACUUAAAAAUUGGGUAUUGGUUGAACUUGCGUUUUUUGUGUUUUUUAAAUUGGGUUUGUGUAGUGUUUGAACCUGAGUUUUUGGUGAUUUGAACUUGAAGUUGUGGUUUUUUUUAACUUUAGGGUGUGGACUUUUUUAAACUUGAGAAUUGGGUUUUGGUUGAACUUGAGUUUGUGGUGUUUUUGAACUUGAGUUUGUUUCGUGUUUGAACUUGAGUUUGUGGCGUUUGUUUAACUUGAGUUUCUGUUGUUUUUGAACUUGAGUUUUUGUUGUUUUUGAACUUGAGUUUGUGUGUUUGUUGAACUUGAGUUUGUGUUAUGUUUGAACUUGAGUUUGUGUCGUGUAUGAACUUGAGUUUGUGUUUUUGUUGAACUUGAGUUUGUGUUGUUUUUGAACUUGAGUUUUUGGUGGUUUUGAACUUGAGUUUGUUUCGUGUUUGAACUUGAGUUUGUGUCGUGUAUGAACUUGAGUUUGUGUCGUGUUUUUGAACUUGAGUUUUUGGUGAUUUUGAACUUGAGGGUGUGGAAUUUGUUAAACUUGAGAAUUGGGUAUUGGUUGAAUUUGAGUUUGUGUGUUUGUUGAACUUGUGUUCGUGUAGUGUUUGAACUUGAGUUUGUGGUGUUUUUGAACUUGAGUUUGUGUUGUUUUUGAACUUGAGUUUUUGUUGUUUUUGAACUUGAGGUUGUGGAAAUUGUUAAACCUAAGAAUUGGGUAUUGGUUGAACUUGCGUUUUUUGUGUUUUUUAAAUUGGGUUUGUGUAGUGUUUGAACCUGAGUUUUUGGUGUUUUUGAACUUGAAGUUGUGGUUUUUUUUAACUUGAGGGUGUGGAAUUUUUUAAACUUGAGAAUUGGGUUUUGGUUGAACUUAAGUUUGUGGUGUUUUGGAACUUGAGUUUGUUUCGUGUUUGAACUUGAGUUUGUGGCGUUAUUUGAACUUGAGUUUGUGUUGUUUUUGAACUCGAGUUUUUGUCGUGUUUGAACUUGAAUUUGUGUGUUUGUUGAACUUGAGUUUUUGUUAUGUUUGAACUUGAGUUUGUGUCGUGUAUGAACUUGAGUUUGUGUCGUGUUUUUGAACUUGAGUUUUUGGUGUUUUUGUACUUGAGGGUGUGGAAUUUGUUAAACUUGAGAAUUGUGUAUUGGUUGAAUUUGAGUUUGUGUGUUUGUUGAACUUGAGUUCGUGUCGUGUUUGAACUUGAGUUUGUGGUGUUUUUGAACUUGAGUUUGUUUCGUGUUUGAACUUGAGUUUGUGGCGUUUGUUGAACUUGAGUUUCUGUUGUUUUUGAACUUGAGUUUUUGUUGUUUUUGAACUUGAGUUUGUGUGUUUGUUGAACUUGAGUUUGUGUUAUGUUUGAACUUGAGUUUGUGUCGUGUAUGAACUUGAGUUUGUGUGUUUGUUGAACUUGAGUUUGUGUUGUUUUUGAACUUGAGUUUUUGGUGGUUUUGAACUUGAGUUUGUUUCGUGUUUGAACUUGAGUUUGUGGCGUUUGUUGAACUUGAGUUUCUGUUGUUUUUGAACUUGAGUUUUUGUCGUGUUUGAACUUGAGUUUGUGUGUUUGUUGAACUUGAGUUUGUGUUAUGUUUGAACUUGAGUUUGUGUCGUGUAUGAACUUGAGUUUGUGUCGUGUUUUUGAACUUGAGUUUUUGGUGAUUUUGAACUUGAGGGUGUGGAAUUUGUUAAACUUGAGAAUUGGGUAUUGGUUGAAUUUGAGUUUGUGUGUUUGUUGAACUUGUGUUCGUGUAGUGUUUGAACUUGAGUUUGUGGUGUUUUUGAACUUGAGUUUGUGUUGUUUUUGAACUUGAGUUUUUGUUGUUUUUGAACUUGAGGUUGUGGAAAUUGUUAAACCUAAGAAUUGGGUAUUGGUUGAACUUGCGUUUUUUGUGUUUUUUAAAUUGGGUUUGUGUAGUGUUUGAACCUGAGUUUUUGGUGUUUUUGAACUUGAAGUUGUGGUUUUUUUUAACUUGAGGGUGUGGAAUUUUUUAAACUUGAGAAUUGGGUUUUGGUUGAACUUAAGUUUGUGGUGUUUUGGAACUUGAGUUUGUUUCGUGUUUGAACUUGAGUUUGUGGCGUUAUUUGAACUUGAGUUUCUGUUGUUUUUGAACUCGAGUUUUUGUCGUGUUUGAACUUGAAUUUGUGUGUUUGUUGAACUUGAGUUUUUGUUAUGUUUGAACUUGAGUUUGUGUCGUGUAUGAACUUGAGUUUGUGUCGUGUUUUUGAACUUGAGUUUUUGGUGUUUUUGUACUUGAGGGUGUGGAAUUUGUUAAACUUGAGAAUUGUGUAUUGGUUGAAUUUGAGUUUGUGUGUUUGUUGAACUUGAGUUCGUGUCGUGUUUGAACUUGAGUUUGUGGUGUUUUUGAACUUGAGUUUGUGUGUUUUUUUAACUUGAGUUUGUGUUGUGUUUGAACUUGAGUUUGUGUGUUUGUUGAACUUGAGUUUGUGUUGUUUUUGAACUUGAAUUUUUGGUGGUUUUCAACUUGAGGUUGUGGAAAUUGUUAAACUUAAGAAUUGGGUAAUGGUUGAACUUGCGUUUUUUGUGUUUUUUAAAUUGGGUUUGUGUAGUGAUUGAACCUGAGUUUGUGUGUUUGUUGAACUUGAGUUUGUGUUAUGUUUGAACAUGAGUUUGUGUCGUGUAUGAACUUGAGUUUGUGUCGUGUUUUUGAACUUGAGGGUGUGGAAUUUGUUAAACUUGAGAAUUGGGUAUUGGUUGAAUUUGAGUUUGUGUGUUUGUUGAACUUGAGUUCGUGUCGUGUUUGAACUUGAUUUUGUGGUGUUUUUGAACUUGAGUUUGUGUGUUUUUUGAACUUGAGUUUGUGUUGUGUUUGAACUUGAGUUUGUGGAAAUUGUUAAACCUAAGAAUUGGGUAUUGGUUGAACUUGCGUUUUUUGUGUUUUUUAAAUUGGGUUUGUGUAGUGUUUGAACCUGAGUUUUUGGUGUUUUUGAACUUGAAGUUGUGGUUUUUUUUAACUUGAGGGUGUGGAAUUUUUUAAACUUGAGAAUUGGGUUUUGGUUGAACUUAAGUUUGUGGUGUUUUGGAACUUGAGUUUGUUUCGUGUUUGAACUUGAGUUUGUGGCGUUAUUUGAACUUGAGUUUGUGUUGUUUUUGAACUCGAGUUUUUGUCGUGUUUGAACUUGAAUUUGUGUGUUUGUUGAACUUGAGUUUUUGUUAUGUUUGAACUUGAGUUUGUGUCGUGUAUGAACUUGAGUUUGUGUCGUGUUUUUGAACUUGAGUUUUUGGUGUUUUUGUACUUGAGGGUGUGGAAUUUGUUAAACUUGAGAAUUGUGUAUUGGUUGAAUUUGAGUUUGUGUGUUUGUUGAACUUGAGUUCGUGUCGUGUUUGAACUUGAGUUUGUGGUGUUUUUGAACUUGAGUUUGUUUCGUGUUUGAACUUGAGUUUGUGGCGUUUGUUGAACUUGAGUUUCUGUUGUUUUUGAACUUGAGUUUUUGUUGUUUUUGAACUUGAGUUUGUGUGUUUGUUGAACUUGAGUUUGUGUUAUGUUUGAACUUGAGUUUGUGUCGUGUAUGAACUUGAGUUUGUGUGUUUGUUGAACUUGAGUUUGUGUUGUUUUUGAACUUGAGUUUUUGGUGGUUUUGAACUUGAGUUUGUUUCGUGUUUGAACUUGAGUUUGUGGCGUUUGUUGAACUUGAGUUUCUGUUGUUUUUGAACUUGAGUUUUUGUCGUGUUUGAACUUGAGUUUGUGUGUUUGUUGAACUUGAGUUUGUGUUAUGUUUGAACUUGAGUUUGUGUCGUGUAUGAACUUGAGUUUGUGUCGUGUUUUUGAACUUGAGUUUUUGGUGAUUUUGAACUUGAGGGUGUGGAAUUUGUUAAACUUGAGAAUUGGGUAUUGGUUGAAUUUGAGUUUGUGUGUUUGUUGAACUUGUGUUCGUGUAGUGUUUGAACUUGAGUUUGUGGUGUUUUUGAACUUGAGUUUGUGUUGUUUUUGAACUUGAGUUUUUGUUGUUUUUGAACUUGAGGUUGUGGAAAUUGUUAAACCUAAGAAUUGGGUAUUGGUUGAACUUGCGUUUUUUGUGUUUUUUAAAUUGGGUUUGUGUAGUGUUUGAACCUGAGUUUUUGGUGUUUUUGAACUUGAAGUUGUGGUUUUUUUUAACUUGAGGGUGUGGAAUUUUUUAAACUUGAGAAUUGGGUUUUGGUUGAACUUAAGUUUGUGGUGUUUUGGAACUUGAGUUUGUUUCGUGUUUGAACUUGAGUUUGUGGCGUUAUUUGAACUUGAGUUUCUGUUGUUUUUGAACUCGAGUUUUUGUCGUGUUUGAACUUGAAUUUGUGUGUUUGUUGAACUUGAGUUUUUGUUAUGUUUGAACUUGAGUUUGUGUCGUGUAUGAACUUGAGUUUGUGUCGUGUUUUUGAACUUGAGUUUUUGGUGUUUUUGUAUUUGAGGGUGUGGAAUUUGUUAAACUUGAGAAUUGUGUAUUGGUUGAAUUUGAGUUUGUGUGUUUGUUGAACUUGAGUUCGUGUCGUGUUUGAACUUGAGUUUGUGGUGUUUUUGAACUUGAGUUUGUGUGUUUUUUUAACUUGAGUUUGUGUUGUGUUUGAACUUGAGUUUGUGUGUUUGUUGAACUUGAGUUUGUGUUGUUUUUGAACUUGAAUUUUUGGUGGUUUUCAACUUGAGGUUGUGGAAAUUGUUAAACUUAAGAAUUGGGUAAUGGUUGAACUUGCGUUUUUUGUGUUUUUUAAAUUGGGUUUGUGUAGUGAUUGAACCUGAGUUUGUGUGUUUGUUGAACUUGAGUUUGUGUUAUGUUUGAACAUGAGUUUGUGUCGUGUAUGAACUUGAGUUUGUGUCGUGUUUUUGAACUUGAGGGUGUGGAAUUUGUUAAACUUGAGAAUUGGGUAUUGGUUGAAUUUGAGUUUGUGUGUUUGUUGAACUUGAGUUCGUGUCGUGUUUGAACUUGAUUUUGUGGUGUUUUUGAACUUGAGUUUGUGUGUUUUUUGAACUUGAGUUUGUGUUGUGUUUGAACUUGAGUUUGUGGUGUUUUUGAACUUCAUUUUGUUUCGUGUUUGAACUAAAGUUUUUGGUGUUUUUGAAGUUGAGGGUGUGGAAUUUGUAAAACUUGAGAAUUGGGUAUUGGUUGAAUUUGAGUUUGUGUGUUUGUUGAACUUGAGUUUGUGUGUUUGUUGAACUUGAGUUUGUGUUGUUUUUGAACUUGAGUUUGUGGCGUUUGUUGAACUCUAGGUUGUGGCAAUUGGUUGAACUGGAGUUUGUGUCGUGUUUGAACUUGAGUUAGUGUUGUUUGUUGAACUUGAAUUUGUGUUUUUUGAACUUUAUUUUUUUGAAAUUGAGUUUGUAGCAAUUGUUGAACUUGAGUCUUUGGUUUUUGGUGAACUUUAAUUGGUGGCAAUUGUUGAACAUGAGUUUGUGGCAUUUGUUGAACUUGAGUUUGUGUCGUGUUUGAACUUGAGUUUUUGGUGUUUUUGAACUUGAGUUUGUGGUGUUUUUGAACAUGAGUUUGUGUCGUGUUUGAACUUGAGUUUGUGGUGUUUGGUGAACUUGAAUUUGCGUGUUUAGUGAACUUGAGUUUUUGUGUUUUUUUGAACUUGAGUUUCUGUUGUUUUUUAACUUGAGGUUGUGGAAAUUGUUAAACUUGAGAAUCAGGUGUUGGUUGAACUUAGAACUUGAGUUUGUGUCGUGUUUGAACUUGAGGUUGUGGUGUUUUUUAACUCGAAUUUGUGUGUUUGUUGAACUUGAGUUUGUGUCGUGUUUGAACGUGAGUUUGUGGUGUUUUUUGAACUUGAGGUAUUGGCGUUUUUGAACUUGACCUUGUGGAAAUUUUUGAACUUUAGGAUCGGGUGUUGGUUGAAUUUGAGUUUGUGGUGUUUGUUGAACUUGAGUUUGUGUCGUGUUUGAACUUGAGUUUGUGGUGUUUUUGAACUUGAGUUUGUGGUGUUUUUGAACUUGAGGUUAUGGAAAUUGUUAAACCUAAGAAUUGGGUAUUGGUUGAACUUGAGUUUGUGUUGUUUUUGAACUUGAGUUUGUGUAGUGUUUGAACUUGAGUUUGUGGUGUUUUUUGAGCUUUAGGUUGUGGUGUUUUUGAACUUGAGUUUGUGGCGUGUUUGAACCUGAGGUUGUGGAAAUUGUUAAACUUGAGAUUUGGGUGUUGAUUGAACUUGAGUUUGUUUCGUGUUUGAUCUUGAGGUUGUGGUGUUUUUGAACUUGAGGUUGCUUGUUUGUUUAACUUGAGUUUGUGUGAUUUUUGAACCUGAGUUUGUUGUUUCUGAACUUGAGGUUUUGGCAAUUGUUGAACUUGAGUCUGUGGUUUUUAGUGAACUUUAGUUGGUUGCAAUUGUUGAACAUGAGUUUAUGGCGUUUGUUGAACUUGAGUUUGUGAUGUGUUUUAACUUGAGUUUGUGUUAUUUCUGAACUUGAGGUUGUGGCAAUUUCUAAACUUGAGAUUUGGGUGUUGGUUGAACUUAAAAGUUUGACAUUUGUUGAACAUGAGUUUAUGGCGUUUGUUGAACUUGAGUUUGUGUCGUGUUUGAACUUGAAGUUAUGGUGUUUUUGAACUCGAGUUUUUGUGUUUGUUGAACUUGAGUUUGUGUGUUUUUUAAACUUGAGUUUGUUGUUUCUUAACUUGAGGUUGUGGCAAUUGUUGAACUUGAGUCUGUUGUUUUUAGUGAACUUUAGUUGGUGGCAAUUGUUGAACUUGAGUUUGUGGCAUUUGUUAAACUUGAGUUUGUGACGUGUUUAAACAUGAUUUUGUGUUGUUUUUGAACUCGAGUUUGUGGUGUUUUUGAACUUGAGGUUGUGGAAAUUGUUAAACUUGAGAAUUGGGUAUUGGUUGAACUUGAGUUUGUGUUGUUUUUGAAUUUAAGUUUGUGUAGUGUUUGAACUUGAGUUUGUGGUGUUUUUUGAGCUUGAGGUUGUGGUGUUUUUGAACUUGAGUUUGUGGCGUGUUUGAACUUGAGGUUGUGGAAAUUGUUAAACUUGAGAUUUGGGUGUUGAUUGACUUGAGUUUGUUUCGUGUUUGAUCUUGAGGUUGUGGUGUUUUUGAACUUGAGGUUGUGGAAAUUGUUAAACUUGAGAAUCAGGUGUUGGUUGAACUUGAGUUUGUGUGUUUGUUGAACUUGAGUUUUUGUCGUUGUUGAACUUGAGUUUGUGGUGUUUUUGAACUUGAGUUUGUGUGUUUGUUGAACUUGAGUUUGUGGUGUUUUUGAACUUGAGUUUGUUGUUUUUGAACUUGAGAUUGCGGAAAUUGUUAAACUUGAGAUUUGGGUGUUGGUUGAACUUAAAAGUUUGACAUUUGUUGAACUUGAGUUUGUGUCGUGUUUGAACUUGAGGUUGUGGUGUUUUUGAACUUGAGGUUGCUUGUUUGUUGAACUUGAGUUUGUGUGAUUUUUGAACCUGGGUUUAUUGUUUCUGAACUUGAGGUUGUGGCAAUUGUUGAACUUGAGUCUGUGGUUUUUAGUGAACUUUAGUUUGUUACAAUUGUUGAACAUGAGUUUGUGCAGUUUUUUGAAAUUGAGUUUGUGAUGUGUUUGAAUUUGAGUUUGUGUUGUUUUUGAACUUGAGGUUGUGGCAAUUACUAAACUUGGGAUUUGGGUGCUGGUUGAACUUAAAACUUUGACAUUUGUUGAACUUGAGUUUGUGUUUUUUGUUGAACUUGAGUUUGUGUCGUGUUUGAACUUGAGGUUGUGGUGUUUUUUGAGCUUGAUUUUGUGGUGUUUGUUGAACUUGAGUUUUUGGUGUGUUUGAACUUGAGUUUGUGGUGUUUUUUGAACUUGAGGUAUUGGCGUUUUUGAACUUGACCUUGUGGAAAUUUUUGAACUUUAGGAUCGGGUGUUGGUUGAACUUGAGUUUGUGGUGUUUGUUGAACUUGAGUUUGUGUCGUGUUUGAACUUGAGUUUGUGGUGUUUUUGAACUUGAGUUUGUGGUGUUUUUGAACUUGAGGUUAUGGAAAUUGUUAAACCUAAGAAUUGGGUAUUGCUUGAACUUAAGUUUGUGUUGUUUUUGAACUUGAGGUUAUGUAGUGUUUGAACUUGAGUUUGUGGUGUUUUUUGAGCUUGAGGUUGUGGUGUUUUUGAACUUGAGUUUGUGGCAUGUUUGAACUUGAGGUUGUGGAAAUUGUUAAACUUGAGAUUUAGGUGUUGAUUGAACUUGAGUUUGUUUCGUGUUUGAUCUUGAGGUUGUGGUGUUUUUGAACUUGAGGUUGCUUGUUUGUUUAACUUAAGUUUGUGUUUUUUUUUUAACUUGAGUUUGUUGUUUCGGAUCUUGAGGUUUUGGCAAUUGUUGAACUUGAGUCUUUGGUUUUUAGUUAACUUUAGUUGGUUGCAAUUGUUGAACAUGAGUUUAUGGCGUUUGUUGAACUUGAGUUUGUAACGUGUUUGAACUUGAGUUUGUGUUAUUUUUUAACUUGAGGUUGUGGCAAUUUCUAAAAUUGAGAUUUGGGUGUUGGUUGAACUUAAAAGUUUGACAUUUGUUGAACUUCAGUUUGUGUUUUUUGUUGAACUUGAGUUUGUGUCGUGUUUGAACUUGAGGUUGUGGUGUUUUUGAACUUGAGUUUUUGUGUUUGUUGAACUUCAGUUUUUGGCAUGUUUGAACUUGAGUUUGUGUUUUUUUUAACUUGAGGUUGUGGUUUUUUGAACUUCAGUUUGUGGAAAUUUUUAAACUUGAGGAUUGGGUGGUGGUUGAACUUGAGUUUGUGGUGUUUUUUGAACUUGAGGUUGUGGUGUUUUUGACUUGAGUUCGUGGCGUGUUUGAACUUAAGGUUGUUGCAAUUGUUAAACUUGAGAUUUGGGUGUUGGUUGAACUUUAAACUUUGCCAUUUGUUGAACUUGAGUUUGUGGUGUUUGUUGAACUCCAGCUUGUGUUGUGUUUGAACUUGAGUUUGUGUGUUUUUUGAACUUGAGUUUGUGGCGUGUUUGAACUUGAGUUUGUGGUGGUUUUUGAACUUGAGGUUGUGAAAAUUGUUAAAACUUGAGAAUCAGGUGUUGGUUGAACUUGAGUUUGUGGUUUUUGUUGAACUUGAUUUUGUGCUUUGUUUGAACUUUAGUUUAUGGCUUUUUUUGUACUUGAGUUUGUGUUGUUUUUGAACUUGAGGUUGUGGAAAUUGUAAAAACUUGAGAAUCAGGUUUUUGUUGAACUUGAGUUUGUGUCGUUUUUGAGCUUGAGGUUGUGGUGUUUUUGAACUUGAGUUUGCGUGUUUGUUGAACUUGAGUUUGUGUCGUGUUUGAACGUGAGUUUGUGGUGUUUUUUGAACUUGAGGUAUUGGCGUUUUUGAACUUGACCUUGUGGAAAUUUUUGAACUUUAGGAUCGGGUGUUGGUUGAAUUUGAGUUUGUGGUGUUUGUUGAACUUGAGUUUGUGUCGUGUUUGAACUUGAGUUUGUGGUGUUUUUGAACUUGAGUUUGUGGUGUUUUUGAACUUGAGGUUAUGGAAAUUGUUAAACCUAAGAAUUGGGUAUUGGUUGAACUUGAGUUUGUGUUGUUUUUGAACUUGAGUUUGUGUAGUGUUUGAACUUGAGUUUGUGGUGUUUUUUGAGCUUUAGGUUGUGGUGUUUUUGAACUUGAGUUUGUGGCGUGUUUGAACCUGAGGUUGUGGAAAUUGUUAAACUUGAGAUUUGGGUGUUGAUUGAACUUGAGUUUGUUUCGUGUUUGAUCUUGAGGUUGUGGUGUUUUUGAACUUGAGGUUGCUUGUUUGUUUAACUUGAGUUUGUGUGAUUUUUGAACCUGAGUUUGUUGUUUCUGAACUUGAGGUUUUGGCAAUUGUUGAACUUGAGUCUGUGGUUUUUAGUGAACUUUAGUUGGUUGCAAUUGUUGAACAUGAGUUUAUGGCGUUUGUUGAACUUGAGUUUGUGAUGUGUUUUAACUUGAGUUUGUGUUAUUUCUGAACUUGAGGUUGUGGCAAUUUCUAAACUUGAGAUUUGGGUGUUGGUUGAACUUAAAAGUUUGUCAUUUGUUGAACAUGAGUUUAUGGCGUUUGUUGAACUUGAGUUUGUGUCGUGUUUGAACUUGAAGUUAUGGUGUUUUUGAACUCGAGUUUUUGUGUUUGUUGAACUUGAGUUUGUGUGUUUUUUAAACUUGAGUUUGUUGUUUCUUAACUUGAGGUUGUGGCAAUUGUUGAACUUGAGUCUGUUGUUUUUAGUGAACUUUAGUUGGUGGCAAUUGUUGAACUUGAGUUUGUGGCAUUUGUUAAACUUGAGUUUGUGACGUGUUUAAACAUGAUUUUGUGUUGUUUUUGAACUCGAGUUUGUGGUGUUUUUGAACUUGAGGUUGUGGAAAUUGUUAAACUUGAGAAUUGGGUAUUGGUUGAACUUGAGUUUGUGUUGUUUUUGAAUUUAAGUUUGUGUAGUGUUUGAACUUGAGUUUGUGGUGUUUUUUGAGCUUGAGGUUGUGGUGUUUUUGAACUUGAGUUUGUGGCGUGUUUGAACUUGAGGUUGUGGAAAUUGUUAAACUUGAGAUUUGGGUGUUGAUUGACUUGAGUUUGUUUCGUGUUUGAUCUUGAGGUUGUGGUGUUUUUGAACUUGAGGUUGUGGAAAUUGUUAAACUUGAGAAUCAGGUGUUGGUUGAACUUGAGUUUGUGUGUUUGUUGAACUUGAGUUUUUGUCGUUGUUGAACUUGAGUUUGUGGUGUUUUUGAACUUGAGUUUGUGUGUUUGUUGAACUUGAGUUUGUGGUGUUUUUGAACUUGAGUUUGUUGUUUUUGAACUUGAGAUUGCGGAAAUUGUUAAACUUGAGAUUUGGGUGUUGGUUGAACUUAAAAGUUUGACAUUUGUUGAACUUGAGUUUGUGUCGUGUUUGAACUUGAGGUUGUGGUGUUUUUGAACUUGAGGUUGAUUGUUUGUUGAACUUGAGUUUGUGUGAUUUUUGAACCUGGGUUUAUUGUUUCUGAACUUGAGGUUGUGGCAAUUGUUGAACUUGAGUCUGUGGUUUUUAGUGAACUUUAGUUUGUUACAAUUGUUGAACAUGAGUUUGUGCAGUUUUUUGAAAUUGAGUUUGUGAUGUGUUUGAAUUUGAGUUUGUGUUGUUUUUGAACUUGAGGUUGUGGCAAUUACUAAACUUGGGAUUUGGGUGCUGGUUGAACUUAAAACUUUGACAUUUGUUGAACUUGAGUUUGUGUUUUUUGUUGAACUUGAGUUUGUGUCGUGUUUGAACUUGAGGUUGUGGUGUUUUUUGAGCUUGAUUUUGUGGUGUUUGUUGAACUUGAGUUUUUGGUGUGUUUGAACUUGAGUUUGUGGUGUUUUUUGAACUUGAGGUAUUGGCGUUUUUGAACUUGACCUUGUGGAAAUUUUUGAACUUUAGGAUCGGUUGUUGGUUGAACUUGAGUUUGUGGUGUUUGUUGAACUUGAGUUUGUGUCGUGUUUGAACUUGAGUUUGUGGUGUUUUUGAACUUGAGUUUGUGGUGUUUUUGAACUUGAGGUUAUGGAAAUUGUUAAACCUAAGAAUUGGGUAUUGCUUGAACUUAAGUUUGUGUUGUUUUUGAACUUGAGUUUGUGUAGUGUUUGAACUUGAGUUUGUGGUGUUUUUUGAGCUUGAGGUUGUGGUGUUUUUGAACUUGAGUUUGUGGCAUGUUUGAACUUGAGGUUGUGGAAAUUGUUAAACUUGAGAUUUAGGUGUUGAUUGAACUUGAGUUUGUUUCGUGUUUGAUCUUGAGGUUGUGGUGUUUUUGAACUUGAGGUUGCUUGUUUGUUUAACUUAAGUUUGUGUUUUUUUUUAACUUGAGUUUGUUGUUUCGGAUCUUGAGGUUUUGGCAAUUGUUGAACUUGAGUCUUUGGUUUUUAGUUAACUUUAGUUGGUUGCAAUUGUUGAACAUGAGUUUAUGGCGUUUGUUGAACUUGAGUUUGUAACGUGUUUGAACUUGAGUUUGUGUUAUUUUUUAACUUGAGGUUGUGGCAAUUUCUAAAAUUGAGAUUUGGGUGUUGGUUGAACUUAAAAGUUUGACAUUUGUUGAACUUCAGUUUGUGUUUUUUGUUGAACUUGAGUUUGUGUCGUGUUUGAACUUGAGGUUGUGGUGUUUUUGAACUUGAGUUUUUGUGUUUGUUGAACUUCAGUUUUUGGCAUGUUUGAACUUGAGUUUGUGUUUUUUUUAACUUGAGGUUGUGGUUUUUUGAACUUCAGUUUGUGGAAAUUUUUAAACUUGAGGAUUGGGUGGUGGUUGAACUUGAGUUUGUGGUGUUUUUUGAACUUGAGGUUGUGGUGUUUUUGACUUGAGUUCGUGGCGUGUUUGAACUUAAGGUUGUUGCAAUUGUUAAACUUGAGAUUUGGGUGUUGGUUGAACUUUAAACUUUGCCAUUUGUUGAACUUGAGUUUGUGGUGUUUGUUGAACUCCAGCUUGUGUUGUGUUUGAACUUGAGUUUGUGUGUUUUUUGAACUUGAGUUUGUGGCGUGUUUGAACUUGAGUUUGUGGUGGUUUUUGAACUUGAGGUUGUGAAAAUUGUUAAAACUUGAGAAUCAGGUGUUGGUUGAACUUGAGUUUGUGGUUUUUGUUGAACUUGAGUUUGUGUCGUGUUUGAACUUUAGUUUAUGGCUUUUUUUGUACUUGAGUUUGUGUUGUUUUUGAACUUGAGGUUGUGGAAAUUGUAAAAACUUGAGAAUCAGGUUUUUGUUGAACUUGAGUUUGUGUCGUUUUUGAGCUUGAGGUUGUGGUGUUUUUGAACUUGAGUUUGCGUGUUUGUUGAACUUGAGUUUGUGUGUUUUUUAACUUGAGUUUGUUGUUUCUGAACUUGAGGUUGUGGCAAUUGUUGAACUUGAGUCUGUUGUUUUUAGUGAACUUUAGUUGGUGGCAAUUGUUGAACU